AAAAAAAAAAAAAAAACUUGUUCGAGUCAAAUGGGCCUUCGAAUCACUUGAACCUAGCUUUAGUGGAAACGGUUCUUGCAGGUAUAAAUGUAGGUACAAAUGUAGGUAACGGUAUUUGUAUACAAGCAUUUUUCAUAAGACUGGGCCGGUUUAACCUGCCAAUCGAAAUAGUUAUAUAAAUACAUUGAAGCAAAUGUGUUUGGGUCCGCAUAACUUGCCAGGGAUCUCACGGGCAAUAAGACAUCGUAGGCUAAUAGGCCCCAAUAUUAGGAAAUUGUCUUUAGAAAUGUCUAGCGUAUUCGGGCAUUGUUUGUAGAAUUAUUAAGCGAGUAAAUGGAAUAGACUAUCCUGCGCAUAUUCUACCAUCCUGGUUAAACAUGGCUUUUCGAAUAAAUCGGACACAAGUUUUGCGCACGAGAAUACCAACUGCUCCCUGUGGAAAGUAAUCAAAAAAACAGGCAACACAUGGGCCAGAAGCAACGAAGAGCGAGCUGAAAAAUUUUCUAACCACCUUUCUGACACAUUUACUCCAUAUAAUAUUAACAACGCUAACUCCAAGUGUCAUACAGACGUAGACGCGCGAAAUACUAGUAUUUCAACUAACAAGCACUACACCAUACCUAGUACAAUAGCACAAGAAAUUAGAAUCAUAAUCAAGCACCAGGAAUCGACCUAAUCAAUGGUAAAAUCUUAAAAAACCUUCCCCUAAAAGCAAUACGAUUAAUGACAAUAAUGUUCAAUGCAAUUUUAAGAAUUCAAUACUUUCCUACGAAAUACUUUCCUAUGAAAGCCUCUUACAAACAAUCAAAAAACAUUUCCCGGAACAAAUCUUUCACUUAUUCAAAUCAUACCUAAAUUAUGGAACCUUGGUAAUAAAAAUAAAGAACAGUUACUCUGAAAUUAAAGACUUCAAGGAAGAGGUACCGCAAGGAAGCGUCUUAGGGCCAAUAUUAUAUAUACUAUACACGGCCAACAUACCAACAACUACCAACAGCCAAAUUCUGAUAUUCGAGGACGUUUACCGAAUGUCCAGCUGGACAAAUCGUAAAGCACAAACUAAAAA